rnacentral:RNase_P_RNA from 1 species
CGCCGUCUUUCGGGACGGAGGAAAGUCCGGGCUCCACGGAGAAACGGCGCCGGAUAACGUCCGGCGGGGGCGACCCCAGGGAAAGCGCCACAGAAAGCAAACCGCCUUUGGGUCUCCAAGGGUAAGGGUGAAAGGGUGCGGCAAGAGCGCACCGCGCGGGCGGCGACGUCGGCGGCACGGCAAGCCCCGCCGGGAGCAAAACCGAAUAGGGACGACAGGCGACGGCUCUCGGGCCGGAACCACCCUUCUCCGGGGCGUCGUCCGGGUUGGUUGCACGAGACGGCAGGCGACUGCCGUCCCAGAGGAAUGGCCAUCGCGCGCCGCAAGGCGCCAUACAGAACCCGGCUUACAGGCCGACUGGCGCU